rnacentral:rRNA from 1 species
UCGGAGGCAGCAGUGGGGAAUUUUGGACAAUGGGGGAAACCCUGAUCCAGCCAUGCCGCGUGAGUGAAGAAGGCCUUCGGGUUGUAAAGCUCUUUCGGACAGAAAGAAAUCCUAUCCGCUAAUACCGGGUGGGGAUGACGGUACUGUAAGAAGAAGCACCGGCUAACUACGUGCCAGCAGCCGCGGUAAUACGUAGGGUGCGAGCGUUAAUCGGAAUUACUGGGCGUAAAGCGUGCGCAGGCGGUUUUGUAAGACAGAUGUGAAAUCCCCGGGCUUAACCUGGGAACUGCAUUUGUGACUGCAAGGCUAGAGUGUAGCAGAGGGGGGUAGAAUUCCACGUGUAGCAGUGAAAUGCGUAGAGAUGUGGAGGAAUACCGAUGGCGAAGGCAGCCCCCUGGGUUAACACUGACGCUCAUGCACGAAAGCGUGGGGAGCAAACAGGAUUAGAUACCCUGGUAGC